rnacentral:rRNA from 1 species
CCUACGGGAGGCAGCAGUAGGGAAUCUUCCACAAUGGGCGAAAGCCUGAUGGAGCAACGCCGCGUGGGUGAAGAAGGUCUUCUGAUCGUAAAACCCUGUUGUUAGAGAAGAAAGUGCGUGAGAGUAACUGUUCACGUUUAGACGGUCUCUAUCCAGAAAGCCACGGCUAACUACGUACCAGCAGCCGCGGUAAUACGUAGGUGGCAAGCGUUAUCCGGAUGUAUUGGGCGUAAAGGGAAUGCAGGCGGUAUUUUAGGUCUCAUGUGAAAGCCUUCGGCUUAACCGGAGUAGUGCAUUGGAGACUGGGAGACUGGAGUGCAGAAGAGGAGAGUAGAACUCAAUGUGUAGCGGUGAAAUGCGUAGAUAUAUGGAAGAACACCAGUGGCGAAAGCGGCUCUCUGGUCUGUAACUGACGCUGAGGUUCGAAAGCGUGGGUAGCAAACAGGAUUAGAUACCCCAGUAGUC